rnacentral:sRNA from 1 species
CCUAAGAAAUGGUGCAUUAUUCUAGUUGGCAAAUUUUACGAAGGUGGGGCUAAAAAUCCACUAUAAAGCUAAUUGCCAGUUUUAGUGUUUGCUUCUUACGCCCAGUUUGGGGUGGAUACUAAAACUUAAUAAUAUCUGGACGCUCAUAAUGGCAUAUGAUUCCGUUCCAUAUAUUGGGGGGCUAUAACUUUAAGUUCGAAAUAUACGCUUGACUUGAGUGAUAAUAGGGAAUUAUAGACCAAAUUAUAUUUUUAGGCCAAAAAAUAUAAUUAUCGCUAUAUGAAACUAUAAUUGCAAAAGAGUAUUAGUAAAGAGUUUGCCAGUGGGGAAAACUCCUAGAGUGACAAUCUAUAAGAUUGCAGUGCGUACUAAGUGGUAAUCAAGUCGUAGAUAUGGUAACAUACUACUGUUUCUUUUAAAUGGGAACUGCUACUCUGGUAACAGAAAGUAAGAAACAGGGAAAUCCAACUUGACCUAAGACGUAAAGUUAAUUAUAGAUUAACCAUUUUUUAUA